rnacentral:rRNA from 1 species
GUGGGGAAUAUUGGACAAUGGGCGAAAGCCUGAUCCAGCCAUGCCGCGUGAGUGAUGAAGGCCUUAGGGUUGUAAAGCUCUUUUGUCCGGGAAGAUAAUGACUGUACCGGAAGAAUAAGCCCCGGCUAACUUCGUGCCAGCAGCCGCGGUAAUACGAAGGGGGCUAGCGUUGCUCGGAAUCACUGGGCGUAAAGGGCGCGUAGGCGGACUUUUAAGUCGGAGGUGAAAGCCCAGGGCUCAACCCUGGAAUUGCCUUCGAUACUGGGAGUCUUGAGUUCGGAAGAGGUUGGUGGAACUGCGAGUGUAGAGGUGAAAUUCGUAGAUAUUCGCAAGAACACCGGUGGCGAAGGCGGCCAACUGGUCCGAAACUGACGCUGAGGCGCGAAAGCGUGGGGAGCAAACAGGAUUAGAUACCCCGGUAGUCC